UUGCAGCCCCUUGAGCAAUACCCUGUGUCAAAGUUACAAGCAUUGUUUAAUUGAUCGAAGCCUACAGCAGGGGACAAGAUAUCAGAAACGGAACAGAUUGACAGUAAUCUCAACCAGAUUCUACAAGAUGUACUUAAACUAAAUUAAUGGUGCAAGACCCCAAACUGCUCAUGAGCUUGCAAUACAAUGGAGAUUAUGGUGAUUAUAUUACAUUAAACAUAUGAUAUAUUAUCAUCUAUUUGAAACACAGUGAAUUCAGAGGCACAUGACCACAAUCCAUACAUGCCAUCUUAUUUACUGGAACCACUAAUAUUUCUAGCCAAGUGAGAGAAAUGGAAUGGUGCAAAGCAUAGUAAUAAAGGCUUUAACUCCUCCCAAAUAAGAAUAGAAGAUAUGCAACGUUAAAA
rnacentral:misc_RNA from 1 species